CAUUAGGUGACUGAAAGUAAGUAUUGGUCUCUUAAACCAUUUAAUAAUAGUUUAACAUCUAUUCCUAAUGA
rnacentral:tRNA from 1 species